rnacentral:pre_miRNA from 1 species
UCUUAUGGAUGAGCAAAGAAAGUGGUUUGUUGAGAUGGAAUCUACUUCCAGUAAAGAUGUUGUGAA